UCUACCCGCGUGACGCUUGGGCUCUGGAGCCUCUGCGGCCAGGGCUUCAAGCUUCGAGGCGAGCUCGGUGGAACUCUCAACAGCUUCCCCAUACUCGACGCAUUCGACGUCGCACUCGUACGCGUGCUCGUAGGAGGAGCUGACGGUGAUGACGCCCUUGGGUCCGGGCAUCUUCAGCUUCAAGUAGGUGUAGUUGGGGAUAGCCAUAAACUUGGCGUUACCCGGGUGCCCAAUGAUGGCGUGGUACUUGCCCCGGAAUCCCACUACCUCAAAGGUGAGGGUCUCCUUUCUAAAAUUGGCCGCCGUGCCAAAGCACACUGGAAGGUCGAUUCAACCUACCAGCAAUGCCUUCUUUCUAGGUACGACACCAUGGAAGCCGCCGGCGCUUGGUUGGAGCUGCGCCCUGUUGAUGCCGAGAAGGUCGAGGGUCUCGAGGUAGACGAUGUUUAGGCUGCUGCCGCCAUCCAUCAACACCUUUGAGAGUCUGGUGUUGACGAUGACGGGGUCGGCGACGAGCGGGUAGACGCCAGGGGCAAUUACCUUGUCGGGGUGGUCGUCUCGAUCGAAGGUGAUGGGGGUGCUUGACCAGCUGAGGUAUUGGGGCACUACCAUCCUUGCUGCAAGGACCUCGCGGCGCUCCCUCUUGCGCUGCCUUGCGGUUAGCUGCGUCGAGGGUCCACCGUAGAUCAUGUAGCAGUCGUGGACGGCUGGGAAACCUUCGUCGUCUUUGUCGUUCCCCUUGUCACCGUUCUUUUCUUUCUUCAGGUCAUCACGGGCGUCCUUCUUGAACCCCAGGCCGUCGAAGUGCUUCUUCAGCAUACGGCAGUCCUCGAGCUUGUGGUUUGCCCCUCCUUAUGGUAAGGGCAUGGCUCCUUUAGCAUCUUGUCGAAGAUAGCCCCCUCUGGGGAUCCUCGAGGCCUUUUGCGCCCCAUGGCAGCGACGAGAUUGUCGUCGAGGUCCUCCAGCUGGAAUGGCCAUGUUUUCUUCUUCUUUUUGUUCUUUUUCGGUCCUCGUCUGGGGCCCUCAUCAUCAUCGGCGAACGGCUUGCCUUUCCUUCCUUCACAGCUGAAGAAGGCGCCGACCGCUUCUUCCCCUGCAGCGUAGUUUGCCACUACGUCCAUCAGCUCGUCGAUGGUCUGAGGGCGAUUCCAGCCUAAUUCCUGCACCAAGUCUCGACUAGUGAUGCCAGAGACAAAGGCCAGGAUGACGUCGUGGUCGGGGAUGUGUGGCAGCUCAGUGCGCUGCUUCGAGAAGCGUCGAGCAUACUCUCGAAGAGUUUCUCCUGACUUCUGCUUGCAUUUGCUGAGGUCCCACGAGUUGCCGGGCCGUAUGUAGGUUCCUUUGAAGUUACCCUCGAACACCCUGACCAAAUCGACCCAAUCGUGGAUCUGGUUGGCCGGGAGCUCCUCGAGCCAUCUGCGGGCGGUGUCGGAGAGGAAAAGUGGUAGCUGUCGGAUGAUGGCUCGAUCGUCCCCUCGAGCGCCUCCCAGCUGAUAGGCUAGCCUGAAGUCUGCCAGCCACAGCUCUGGCUUGGUCUCGCCGUUGUAUUUAGCGAUGCUAGUCGGGGGUCGAAAUGGGCUGGGCAGCGGCGUGCUGCGGAUUGCUCUGCUGAACACCCAAGGGCCCGGUGGUUCCGGAGCCAUCCGGUCCUCGUCGCUGUCGUACCUCCCACCGCGGUGGGCGCUGUAACCGCGCUCUUCUGUGUCCCCAUAUCGACGACGACGGUUCUUGUCGAUGUCGCGUCAUGCGUCGUGUCGUCGUUGGUUGUCGACGGGAUAGUGGAGGACGAGCGCUGUCUUUUUCCCUCGAGGGGGCGGCUGCUGAUGGACCGACACCUCCUUUUCGUUCUGGGCUGGCUCAUCACGCUUUUCUGUGGCUGCUCCUAGACAUUGAGAGGCCGAGCUCUCGGCCUAUUGAACCGCCGCCACUUGGAGCAGUGUCUGCACCUCGUCUCGAAUGCGUCGUGCUUGAGAGUUCGACGGUUCGGGCAUAUUGCGUAGCAGCAUCGUCGCCGCCACGAUGUUCUGGCCUGCUCGAGGGAAACGACUGACGGGCUGCUCAGGUUCCCCGUCUCCGACGAUCUGCCGGUGCACCUCUCGAGCCCGUCUGCAAACACUUCCGCCAUGCGGGUAUGGCUGGUCCUGCUCGAGGAUCUGUUCAAGCAGGACAAGGCACUCGCGAUCUUUGUCAAGCUUUGCUUUGAGCUCUCGUAGCUGCGCAAGUUGCGCGGCUCUGUCUUCAUGUGGAGGGAGGUCGACCUGACCGUCAAUCCCAGGCGUCCUGGGGUCCUCCCUUGCUGUAGGGACUCGACCGCCUGCAACGGCGUCCUAUGUCUCGUCGGUGGUUUCCACCGCCCUGUCGAUGUUGAAGCAUUCCCUAGUAGGGUCGUAGCUGUCGGACUCAGAGUCGGAGUCUGGCUCGGCGGCGUAGAAGCAUCCACGUCCCUCCUCCAGCAGCCGUUGCCUAAGGGAGGUGAUCAUGUAUCGCCCAGGUCCUAAGCGGCGGAGGCCUCGUACCUAAGAGAAAUCUGGAAGCCCGGACGUCUGUUGUCGUGCUCCAUCAUCGCGUGGGAGGACCAUUGGUCUUUCCACGUACAUUUGGGCGUUUGGACAUAUCGUCCUGGCGAGUGACGCUGCGGCGUUGUCCAGACCGAAUGGCAGCGCUCUUCUCGGGGCGAACAGCCCAUGUGGAAGCAGCGUCAUGGCAGGCGAGAGUGCACAAGGCGCGCUGUCUCCCGUCAUGGUCGUGCGAUCAUCGUGGCGUCGGGCCGUCGUGCCCGCGAUUUUGGCGCGCGGGGCUAUCGGCUCCUGGAUCACCUCCCGCCUGGUGCCAGCUGGCGAUCGUGAUGAGGUAGAGGGGUGAUGGUGGUGCUGCCCACGCCUCUUUUUGGGUGGGGAGGCGUGGUGGUGAGGACGUCUCGGAGCCCUCAAUCGUGCCGGCGCAACACGAGCUCCUCCCGGUCCUUUGACCGAGAGCAGGAUCAUGUCAUAGCCAAAAUCGGUAGACAUGAACUCGAGGCUCCCGAACCAAAUUACCGUGAAGCGCGGAAUCAGCGAAACAAGAGUGGCCAUCUGGAAAGGUAUGGGAAAUCGGUGAAAAACACGCAUGACCCCUACCUGACGCGCCAACUGUCGGUGUUUUCCCCCCGGGGGGUCACACCAACGAGUGAAACUUGUAUGCGUGCUCCCCUUUCUAGAUGGUGAUGCAAGAAAAGACACAAGAAUUUAUCCUGGUUCGGGCAAGAGAAGGCCCUACGUCCAGCGGGGGGGGGGGGGAGUGUAUGUUUUAUCUUGCACCUAAGUGCUUGUACAGGGGUGAAUACAGGCGUCAGAUGGAUGGAGGUGGAGUGAGGUUGCUCUACUAUGUAUGGCUUGUUUGUUGUGUCGCCUCCGGGACCUCCCCUUUUAUAGUUCCAAGGAGAGGUCUAGGGUACAUGUAUAGGCGAUAGAGUAGGGGUCGAUAGAGGUAUGGCAUGCUGACCUACUCGAGGCCACUAUUGACGGUCCUUAAGUAUCAAAUUUAAUUAUCAAAUAAACAAAGAAAAGGAUCCAAAUGAAAUCAACAUCUAGACUUAGGGUUUUAUCUGACUGAAUUCCACGAGUUUUGGUGUUUGUCUAUUUCUGCAGGGGGUUAUCAGGAAAUAAGGAAGAAAGGCCCACAUGUCGGGAUUACAUAGAGAUAUCAACCCACCGCGCAAUUUUCUACCAUCUAGAAGACUCCAGAAGCCACGGGAAGGAAGCGGAGCUCGAAAGGGGCCAGGCCCAGGGCGCCCGCCCUGAGGACCUGGGCGCCCGCCCCCCUCUGGACUCUGUUCCGGACUCUCUUCGCACACGACGUUCCACCGACCUAUUGGAUCCAGAAUAACAUAGUACCACCUCGCCUAUCGACCCAAAAACGCAAAGAAGGGGAGGACUAUAUAAGGAGACCCCCCUGGCCCCUGGAGAAGACAAGAAAUUAUCAUAGAGAUUGAGGGGUGCCCUCGAAGGAAAACCUCUUCUCUAAAUAAUAUUUCUUUUUAGGCUUAGCAACCAAUGUAAAGUAGAAAUAGAUCUUCUAGUUUCUACUAGAUUGAGAGAGAUAGAGUGGAGGUGUGGAUCGGAGGAAGGCCGGCCUGUCGGUGUCUACUCCGAGUUGUACCUGCGGGAUCAAGUCUCCUAACCCGAGGCUUGCUUCUAAGAUUCUUCAGUAAUUGGACUUCUAAUACUAGUAAGUUCUUGUUUUAUUGUUCUUUGGUUUAUGAGUUUACUUUAAUCCUCUUCCGGUUGAGUAUUAGAGUAAUCACUUGUUAGCGUAAACGUGGUGUUUAGGCUAGGGUACUCAUAGAUAUCCCCUGACUAGCUGGACCGUGGUAGUAGCGAGGAACGUGACAUUUCCGAGUUACCUUUGCAGAUCACAUCUCGUUAGCAGGACGGGUAGGUUUAUAGGUGCGGGUCGAACAUCCUUUGUGUUGUCUAGAUUCCGUGAGCCUCCCCAAUAGAACAGUAGAUCAUCCUUACCAAGGUUAGAACGAGACUACGGUUGCAGUCUUCUCUAUACAUCACUCACAUCGAGAGACAUUCUUUGUAGCCUAAAGGGAUAGUAGCAAUAGAUUUGGUUAGUCAGAUGCACCCUUUCUCCCAGUGGUAAAAAUAUAAAUACGAUACUCUGGAAAACCUCCUGGGUGAAAUGCUCACCGAUAUCCGUGCGCUUGCGGAUCAUUUUCUAAUUGCGUUACCAAAUAUCAACAAGCAUUUCUGGCGCCGUUGCCGGGGAGAAAGACGGUUUGCUGAGAUAACUUUGAGUCUUGCUAUUAUCUUGUAUUAUACUUUUAUACUUUUAUUCUUUUAUCUUUUUAUUUUUAUUUUUAUGGAUAACUCAAAUUCCAUACCUAUUAUUGAAUUCUUUGCACCUUCGGAGACCAGCCAUAGACCAUGGGAGUCAACACGUCCUGCCCCUAAUUAUGAUCUGUGUCCGGAGUUGAUUGCAAUAGGUCAAAACCAACCCUUUUCUAUAGCCGAGGUCCUAUCUUUUAAUCAAAAAGAUAAUGCACUUUUAGCUACACCUAGGGAAUCUUUUAAUCUUUCUAUAAAUUCUGGUUUAGACCUAGCCCUACAAGACCAUGUUUUUCCUAGAUAUUUUCACAUUGGUCUUAAUCAUAUAAUUUUUGGUAGAGUCUUUCUUUCUUUAUCUAUUAGUAAAGGAAGGUAUGUCUUCAUUUGUGGACAUCCUUCUUGUACUAGUCUUCAUAGAAAAAUCUUAGAGAUAGAGAAGGAAUCAUCUCCCAUACAAGGAGAGGAAGUUUCAAUAGCCGAUUUCCAAACAUUUCAAUCCCAUGAUUCGGCUAUCCAACCCCUCCUUGAGCUUAAUAAAUUCUACUAUGCUCUUUCUCUUGAACCUCCCGAUAUUCCUAUGAAUCUCUCUAGACAUCCCAUGCAUAAGAAGGAGGAUCGAGAAGAGCAACAUCAAUGGCUAGAGGGCAUUAAAAAUCCAUGUGCUAUCACCAUUGAAUGGAUAGAUAAAACAAACUUGAGAGACAAUCCUAGAGGAAUUUUAACCAUUCAUGAAGAAUCAACCUUGGAGUUUGAGAAUGAGAGAAACAACAGUGAGCAUGGAAGUUAUUUCAUAAAUACCUCACCCAGUCCUUGCUCAUAUAAAACAUCUCUCCAAUCAAUUUGUCUCUCCAUCCUUACCACAUUUGAGAUCUUCAACCCCCUCUUCUUUUCUAUUUAUAAAAACUUUAAAAGGGCGGUUGUCGAUGCAUAUGUCUAUAAUAAAUAUUGUAGAUCUUGUUGAGUUAAUUGAUGGUUCCCCAAGGACAAGCUUAGUGUCCUAAAACAAGCACUUCUAAUUAUUUGCAACAUUACCUUGUGUAUUGAGCAUAUAAAGAUAAUUGUAGAAAUAUUCCUUCGGGUAUUCUUGCCACUAACCUUUCUAGGAUUGGAGCAAGAAGAUCGGAUGAAUGACAAGCGCAAGGUAUGCCCAACCAAUCAUCAUGCAACAUUAAAUUAAAUUCAUCUAAUCUUGAAUUUUACAAAAUUCAAGCUUGGGGGAGUACUUUACAUAAAACAUCCUUUGCCAUGUUGCUAUGUUGGUUGUCCCUACCUUUGAGACAUGCUCAAUUUAUUAAAUACUAAUCACACUACUUCAUCUCCACAUGAGUAGAUCUCUAUAAAAGCCAUCAUACUACCUUUGUUUAUCCUAGUAAGUGUUAGUUUGGAAGUACUGGUCACACUUCCAAUGGCAUUUAAAUUAAGCGUGGUGCUUAGGUUAAAUAGCCUUCCUUAAUCUGAUUAGACAUGGAGUCUAGUUUGGUUACUGAAGUAAAAAACUGCUUGAGUAGAUAUUGGUAUAUUUUGUUGGACUAACCCCUGCAGGAAAACUUUCAAUAACAACCUGGGAAGUCCUGAGAUGCAAACUCAUUAGAGAUGAAGAAAGUGACACAUGAAGUUUAACAAUUUGCACAAGAAAGACGUAGCUCAUAAGAGAUGAUCCAUGGAAGGUGCCACAAACACGAUGCACAACCGCUAAGAAAGGAAAGCUUCCACAAGGUGAUACUGUACCGUCACUCUUCAAGUAAGGUAACACCUUAAGGUACUUGACUAUCGCUUUUAUAAGCUUCUCCUUGGUUCUAGCGUUCACAUAAAUAAAGAGACAAACAUGUAUGAUUUAUAACUCCAGAUUAACCAACUCAAAUUAAUUCAUCAUGUUUAGUCCUUAAUCUUUGUUCUUAGUACUACCUUCGUGAUCCCAUACUCCUAAUCAUAUAAGUUAAAAUGUUGCACAUUCAAUCUUUGGGAAGAUAUAAAGAAAAGACAUAUACAUAGAUAGAUUAUCUUUCCAUUAGGUCGAUCAAUCUGAUCUGACAAAUGUUUUAAAUACUACACUCAUGAUCUUAUUAUCUAUCAAACUUUGUCUUGCUCACUAUGCUUAAGGUUAGAGAAGAACAAAUACACUUUUGGUUCUGUUGGUGUUUUCCACCAACAGGGCCCAUGCACUUGAUCUCUGCCUUGUCUCUAUGAAUAGGUACACUUCAAACAAAACAUGGAGGAGUUUUACAACUCCCAGACUCCACCAAGUAAAGGACUUGGAUCUACGAGCACAAACACACUGGAGAUACUGGACGCUCAGGCAAUCACUGCCCUAAGAUGCUUGAGGACGUGAACUACAUUAACAACAAUAACAACUAUUACUACAACCGUCCUCAACAACAUCAAGGUUGGAAUCAACAGAGGCCUAAUUACUCAGAGAGGUGAUCUAGGACGUCCCGUCAUCCCGAUCUCCAUCGGCAUGGUGGACUUCCCAGAAGCACUCUGCGACUUUGGCUCCAGUGUCAACAUUAUGCCUAGGGUUGCAGAUCGGACACUCAGUUUCCCAAUGGAAAUAUUGAAGAACCUCUGCGUCCGAGUUGGUACCUUGUAUGCUCUAGCAGACUUCAUGGUGAUAGAGACUGGUACUGAGGAGAGGGCACCCAUCAUCUUAGGGAGGCCAUUCCUAAACACCAGAAGUGUCAUCUACGCUAAUGCUGCCAAGAUCAGUCUCUACAUCAAGGGGAAGAAGGAGACUUUCCUUCAAGAACAAGACUACACAAACUUCAGAGCAAUCCUGACAUGAACCAAGGAAGAGGACCAACAGGAGGAACAGGAACAAGCAAAUGUGGACCAAGUCAGCUAAGAAGGUCACUGCAGUUCAAGGAGGUCAAGAUCGUCGACUCAAGUCACCUUUCUUGAUCAAGAAGGAGGACCCUGGUGUUCUAAGCAUUGAAGUGCACAAUCAACAGAUACUCUUUUCAGAAGACACUCUACGACACCGGAUCUGACGUCAACAUAAUGGCCGUAGUCACUUAUCAGCUCCUGCAUGAAACCAUGCCCCUACAACCAAUAUACAUUCAGCUGUAGAUGACUUUCAAGUUAUUGACAUGGGAGAAGAUGAAUAUGAUCCACCCACCAUCCUUGGAAGACAGUUCCUCAGCACUAUCAAAGCCAUCAUCUAUAUUGGAACCGGAGAAGUCCACAUACACUUCUCCUUUGAGAAGGUAUGCCGCUGUUUUACUGACCCUAACUAUAUAGUUGAAGACUCUAAGCAGGUCAGGACGAGAAGAAGACAUCGCAACCGCAACCAGAGGAGGCAAAUCAUCAAGGACGGAUGGGUAGACUACGAAGAAGAAGUGAUAAGGACUGAAGACAUACCACUUGAACAUAACUGUCCUGAGGAGACCAUAGCACCGAGUCAGGUGUGGAGAGAGAUUAUAGUUACACACGAAGAGGAGGCGCCACCGGAAUUACCGACUACGUCAUCCAGCGAAUCCCAGGACGAUUAAGAAAAUGGAGAGUCCCGCUCGGAGGACUUAAAAACACCGAACGCCUUGCCAAGAGGUAAACUUGUUAGUUAUCCUUUCCCUUUUAAUUAUUUCAAAUAGUUUACUUAGUUAAUCAUGUUCGUAUUAUCCUAGAAAGAAAAUAAAAAUGUGAAAAAAAAUGUAAGCCCCAUGUGAGUAGACGAGUGGCAUAAAAUCCAUAAGUACAUUCACUGUGGUGGCAUAAAAAUAAAAUAAAUAUUUUUCUGCUUUAUAAAAACAAAAAUAUAAAAACAGGGAGUAAUAUUUAUUAAGGAGUCUCAACAUGAUAAAGGCUAGAUAUUUAUGCUAACACUUAACCAGUUCCACAAGCUUUGUUGUCUAUUUGAGCUCCACAGAAUUUAAGAAUCAAGAAGACUAGUAGACGGAGGACAUUCUAAUCGCUGUCAAAAUACUGCUGACUUUCAAACACACCUCUGUCACCUGCUAGCUACAUCAAGAGAAAUUACGUCAAAAUUCAGCUUGGGGGAGAGCACCCCCAUUUAUCUCGAUAAGUAUUUCUAUCUAUCUUUAUACUUAUACUAUAUUAGAAUAUAAAUACACAUAACUAUGAAAAACCAAAUAAAGAUUUUAUGCUUAUAUAUAUUUUGCUUAGUGUGUUUAAUAAAUAAAUAAAGUGGCUAUGCUAAUCGGUAUCUAAUAAAACUUAAGCAUGGAUAUGAUGAAUACUUGCUCUGCCUAAUUUGCAAAUUUGAAGUUCUCUUAAGUUUAGAUAUAACUGUUAUAAUUUAAGGCUUGCUCUAGACCUAAACUUGUGGGAUGAAAACUUGAUCUGAAGUCUAAGUUGUUAACGGAUACGAUAUGGGAAGGUUGAGCUGCUGUUCAUCUGUUCCUAGAGAUGCUAGAAUUCUGGAGAAUUUUAUCUUUGAAAAAUCUUUAAAAUAACACAUGAUGAGUUUCUGUAUGAUGAGAGUUUAAAUUCCUACCACAGCCAUAUAUACAUGCUUGCUAGACCUUGAGCCACACAUUUACUAUUUACUGCUUAUGAGCAUUGAGUGUGGUCAAGCUGUGUAGACCCUUAGGAGCUUGUCAUGUGGUUAAAUCAAGAUUUCACUUGCACGUUCACUCAUAUAUGCUACUUCUACUCCGGAAGUACCAUCCACAUAUAUCCACCCAUUCCAUCUCCAGAAUCACCCAAAAAUAUUCUACUCCUAAUCCGGGAGAGAAUAGCCAAAAAUAUUUUCCUAUCACUGUUAUUCCCUGUGAAAUAAAUGCUGAAGUUAUCUUGUUACUACCACUUGCUAUAUUAUCUCAAGAGAUGAAUGCUCUGAAAAAAAAGAGAGAAAAAAAAAGAGAUACGAGGAAAUAAAAAGGAGCAAGUGCUCGGAACCUCGAAAGAAAAGAAAAAGUGAGACGAGAGGUAAAAAUGGACAAGUGUCCGACAGUAGAAUUAGGGGUGCAAGAUACCCACCUGAGAGAAAAAAAAAGCAUCUCAUUCUCCUCAUAAAGUUUCAAAAGCAAGGAAGGUAUGUAUCCCCUCAAAAGAGCAAAAGUAGAAUUAGACUUUCACCAUUGUUAUCACCAUCAUCACCAUAUACCAUUCAUUCGCCACACAUGCACAUCUUGAUUUGACUUAUUGACUUGUUUCUCUGGAUCCAUGGUUUGACUAUGCAAUAAAUGUCUUGUAAGUAUGUAUUAGCUGUCUCCCACCUAUGAUCUUCAGAUAUCAAAACCUUAUUAGAGUAGGGUGAGAGAGAAGGUAAUAUCACUAUGCAUUAUACCAAAAAUACCACAUACUUUGAGAGAAGGCAUAUACCAUUACUGCCAUGGUAAGGAUCCAGAAAUACCACAAAAGAGAGACCUGAGAGAAUCAUACAAGGAAUUUCUGAGUUUUAUUUGAAAAUCUGCAAAAACCCCAGAGCUAUAGCUGAUCAAGAAUAAGAGACAUGGCACUUGGCUAGACUGUUCUAUCUUUUAACCACUCAAGACAGAAGUGACGGUUACAAGUCCUAUGGUGUAGGUAAAGUAAGUAAGUUUUAAGACUUAACAGUUUAUUCUAACUCAGAGAUGAGAUCUUGCUUAAAUGUGUGUGUACUUCUAAGAAAUGAAACCACUGCAGAAACUCUUGAGUUCAUCCUUGCUCAGGGACGAGCAAGAGGUAAGCUUGGGGGAGUUUGUUGACGGUCCUUAAGUAUCAAAUUUAAUUAUCAAAUAAACAAAGAAAAGGAUCCAAAUGAAAUCAACAUCUAGACUUAGGGUUUUAUUUGACAGAAUUCCACGAGUUUUGGUGUUUGUCUAUUUCUGCAGGGGGUUAUCAGGAAAUAAGGAAGAAAGGCCCACAUGUCGGGAUUACAUAGAGAUAUCAACCCACCGCGCAAUUUUCUACCAUCUAGAAGACUCCAGAAGCCACGGGAAGGAAGCGGAGCCCGAAAGGGGCUAGGCCCAGGGCGCCCGCCCUGAGGACCUGGGCGCCCGCCCCCCUCUGGACUCUGUUCCGGACUCUCUUCGCACACGACGUUCCACCGACCUAUUGGAUCCAGAAUAACAUAGUACCACCUCGCCUUUCGACCCAAAAAUGCAUAGAAGGGGAGGACUAUAUAAGGAGACCCCCCUGGCCCCUGGAGAAGACAAGAAAUUAUCAUAGAGAUUGAGGGGUGCCCUCAAAGGAAAACCUCUUCUCUAAAUAAUAUUUCUUUUUAGGCUUAGCAACCAAUGUAAAGUAGAAAUAGAUCUUCUAGUUUCUACUAGAUUGAGAGAGAUAGAGUGGAGGUGUGAAUCAGAGGAAGGCCGGCCUGUCGGUGUCUACUCCGAGUUGUACCUGCGGGAUCAAGUCUCCUAACCCGAGGCUUGCUUCUAAGAUUCUUCAGUAAUUCAACUUCUAAUACUAGUAAGUUCUUGGUUUAUUGUUCUUUGGUUUAUGAGUUUACUUUAAUCCUCUUCCGGUUGAGUAUUAGAGUAAUCACUUGUUAGCGUAAUCGUGGUGUUUAGGCUAGGGUACUCAUAGAUAUCCCCUGACUAGCUGGACCGUGGUAGUAGCGAGGAACGUGAAAUUUCCGAGUUACCUUUGCAGAUCACAUCUCGUUAGCAGGACGGGUAGGUUUAUAGGUGCG
rnacentral:lncRNA from 1 species